UGACCGAAAGCAAUUUGAUUCAGCUUGAAUACAAAUAAUACGUCAGUAUAUUUUCGGCAUAUUUUGAAAUUUGUGACGUAGUUUCGGUAUAUUUCUGAGUGUCUGUUUACCAUUGCACGUAUGAAAAUAAAAGUGAAUAAUAAAAGUAAGCAAAAAUAAGCAUUCAACUUUAUCAAGUGUGUGUCAAGUGUCGAGAAAGAGAAUACGUUUUUAGACAGCUGCGACAGAGCCUGGAAUAUAGCUGGAAAAUACGAAAGAAACCCUCAUACAUAUGUAUGUAUGCUGUGCGCGUGUGUGAGUGUGGUGCAUUCAAGGCUGAUAAAACAACACAAAAAAACAGAGCAA